GACAGAGGGUGCAAACGUUGUUCGGAAUUACUGGGCGUAAAGCGUGUGUAGGCGGCUAGGUAAGUCGGAUGUGAAAGCCCCAGGCUCAACCUGGGAAGUGCACUCGAUACUGCUUAGCUCGAGUACUGGAGAGGUUGGUGGAAUUCUCGGUGUAGAGGUGAAAUUCGUAGAUAUCGAGAGGAACACCGGUGGCGAAGGCGGCCAACUGGACAGAUACUGACGCUGAGACACGAAAGCGUGGGGAGCAAACAGG
rnacentral:rRNA from 1 species